rnacentral:rRNA from 1 species
UACGAAGGGGGCUAGCGUUGUUCGGAAUUACUGGGCGUAAAGCGCGUGUAGGCGGGUCCUUAAGUCAGGGGUGAAAUACCAAGGCUCAACCUUGGAACUGCCUUUGAUACUGGGGAUCUUGAGUCCGGGAGAGGUGAGUGGAACUGCGAGUGUAGAGGUGAAAUUCGUAGAUAUUCGCAAGAACACCAGUGGCGAAGGCGGCUCACUGGCCCGGAACUGACGCUGAGACGCGAAAGCGUGGGGAGCAAACAGG